rnacentral:rRNA from 1 species
UAAAAAUUAGUAUAAAUAGAUAACAAAUGGAUAACUAGGAUGUUAUAAUGAGGACGUUCUUUAAUACGAAAAGUCGGUGAAGAAAAAAUGAAAUCGAAAUUCCAUAAGAAAACGCAAUUAUAAAUUAAAAUCUCAGGAACUGAAACAUCUCAGUACUAGAGAGGAAAAAAAUCAAGCGAGAUUCCGUUAGUAGUGGCGAGCGAAGACGGAGGAGAUCUGAUCCAAAAAAAGUUCAUAAUAAUUAAAAACCACAGAGGUUAACAGCCCCGUUGAUUGAAAAAUUAAGGAUUCAUAAUGUGUCGUGUCAUUAACGUGGCUGGCAUUUUAAGCUAAAGAUAAAAGAUAUUUUUUUAUUUUUAAAGAGUAGAAUUAUUUGAAGAGAGGUGAUCCAUACAUCUAAAAUUAAAUCUUAUAACAUACCUAAAGUGUACGAGUACUGUGAAGGAAAGUUGAAAGAGAAUAAAGCUAAAUUUGAGGAUUUAACCUCUGAAGCUAUUAAAAGGCGCAAACUCUAUUAUGAAUUUGUUCUUUAGAGUGAAAAAGAUUUUGAAAUUUGUUAUAUACAAGCAGACGAGAUUCGUCGUACCUUUUGCAUAAUGGGUUCGUGAGAAAAAUAUUUGGCAAACUUAAGUUUAUAAACGCAGGUGUAGUGAAAAUGAGUUUUAAUUUAUUGUUUUAGGGUUAACCACCAUAAACCGAAGGUUUAUGGUGGUUAGGCUUUUGGAAACAUGGAGAGCUUUAGUCAAAUAGAGCCCGAAACCUAGUGAGCUAACCAUGGGCAGUUUGAAGCUCCCCUAAUAGGAAGUGGAGGAACGAACUGGUGAUUGUGGCAAAAAUCUCAGAUGACCUGUGGUUAGAGGUAAAAAGCCAAUCGAACUAGGAAAUAGCUGGUUUUCUGCGAAAGCUAUUGAAGUAGCGCGUCAUUAGAAUUCGUCACGAGUCGAAUGAUAUGGCUAGGCCAUUGAGUUCAGGUAGAAUUACCUUGAAUUUGAACGAAUUUGUGUAUUUUUACAUAGUAAAGCACUGAAUGGAGACAUCUAUAUGGUGUAUUCAACCAAACUAUGAAAGUGUAAGAAGAAAGAUGAUAGACAGACAGUGGGCGAGAAGGUCCAUUGUCAAAAGGAAACAACCUAGAUCAGAAGUUAAGGCCGUAAAAUUUAACUAAGUGUAAAAGGAGCUUAAAGAUAGAGACAACAGAAAGUGGGCUUGGAGCCAGCCAUCUUUGAAAGAUUACGUAACAGUUCACUUGAUAAAUUUAUAGGUUUCUAAAAUUUUGGUGGCUUAAGUUUUUAUUGGAGAUUAUAAUUCAAGUGAAUUAAAUAUCCGCUUCAGAUGUUCUAGAAUUCGUGUACGAGUCUAGGAAUCUAGAUAGCCGAAACUCUGGAUAUAAAAAAUUAAUCCUCACGAGCCUCAAUUGAACCAAGGGUUAAACCCUUGGAUCCAAUUAUCUCGAGUCUUAGCCCCUAAGAUUUUUAAAACCUAGGGGCUAAUUAGGGGAACAACAACCCCGAAGGAUUUGAGUUUGAUAUAUGUGAUAAGGAUUUAUAUAAUGGUAGCAGAACGUUCUGUAAUAUGAUUGAUAAUUAGAUCGCGAAAGUUUAUCAGAAGUGAUAAUGCGAACAUGAGUAAAAAACAGUGUGAGAAUCACUGCUCAUAGCCCUAGGUUUCCAAUAAUUGAGAUUAUCAAGAUUGGGUUAUACAGCCCCUAAGGAUGAUGAUUUUUUAAUUUGUCACAUGAAUUAAACCUAAGAUUUAAAAUUUUUAGGGUUAAUUCAGGGACUAAAAAUUGAAAGCGCACAAUGGGAAAAAAUUAAUAAGUGAAAAAUUUAAUUUAAUAAGCUGUACUUAAACUAACACAAGUGGGCCUAAAGUGAUGGUAGAAUUUAUCUUAAGGAACUCGGCAAAAUGACCCCGUAAGAUUGCAAGAAGGGGUGCCAAUUUUUGAUAUAUUAUCGUUAAAGCCACACAUAGUGUGAGCUCUGCGGGAGGUUAAAAGUUGGUUUCGAGAAAAGAGGGGGUGUCGACUGUUACCAAAAACAUAGCUCCACCAAAAGCCUUUAAGGUGAAGUAUUGGAGGUGAGGCCUGCCCAGUGGUUGUAUCUCAACCCAUGUGAUUAUAAGCCGACCCUAGGUCGAAGAAGUUACAUGAUUAAGGACAAUUAAAUGGCCGCGGUAAAACUGACCGUGAUAAUGUAGCGCAAUCAAUAGCCAAUUAAUUGUUGGCAAGUAUGAAUGGCGUAACGAAUGCCCCACUGUCUCAAGAUAAAAACCAAUGAAAUUGAAAUCGUAGUGAAGAUGCUACGUACAAGUUGUAAGACGAGAAGACCCCAUUGAGCUUUACUGGAAGCUUAUAUUGAUUUUUUCCAAUUAAUGUGUAGAUUAUGUGGGUACAUUAUGAAAAACCACUCAUUAAUUAUAAAAAAAACUUACUAGAUACUGGACAAGUGUAAGCCGGACAGUUUGGUUGGGGCGACCGCCUUCUAAAAAGUAACGAAGGUGUACAUAAGGUAAAUAAUAUAAUAGUAUAAAGUAAAAAGCCUGACAGCAAGGGAGACCCCCGAGCUGACACGGAUGUAAUUAUGAGGAUUAGCCUUCAUCUUUUAAGAGAGUCUAAUCCAUGAACUCGGGAAGAUUAAGUAUCGGGUUUAGGGCAUAAUAAACCGUUUGUGGGUUAUAAUGACCCGUUAGUUAAGAGUGGAUUUGCUAACGAGCAACGAAUAAAAGUUACCAUGGGGAUAACAGCGUAAUAUCGUUCAAGAGUCCAUAUCGACGACGAUGUUUGCGACCUCGAUGUUGAAUUGCGGUAUCCUAGAGGUGUAGCCGCUUCUAAGGGUUGGACUGUUCGUCCAUUAAAAUCGUACAUGAUUUGAGUUCAGACCGGCGUGAGCCAGGUCGGUUUCUAUCUACAAUUUGUUUAGGAAACAUUAGAUAUAUUCUCCAUUCUAGUACGAAAGGACCGAGUGAUAGGUAUCCGCUGGUGUACCAAUUACCAAAACUUGAUAGGUUGUUGGGUAGCUACGAUAAAAUUAAGGCUUAGCUUUUGUAAAAUUGGAUCCAAGGGUUAAACCCUUGGUUCAAUUGAUACCCGUAAGGGUGUCGUAAUCUUGAAAAUUAAGGGUUAUGGAGAGUUAAGUUUAAAGGGAAGCACCUUUAAUUCUAAUCGCCUGAAUGCAUCUCAAGGGAGAAGUAAAAUAUCAUUUAAUGUUUCUAUUAAGACUGUUUGAGAAUAAGACGUUGAUAGGAUCUAUGUGUAUAAAAUAAUCAAUUAACCCCCUAACCCCACGGGUUAUAAGGGUUUAGCCUUUGGAUUAAAAUCUUUUCCAAGGUAAGAUUAAAAGCUUAAGAUAUCUAAAGUAGAGCGUGAACAUAAGUAAGUUGCGCUUGUUCAAAAUACUAAUUUUUCGA